rnacentral:rRNA from 1 species
AAUUUUUGAAGUUAUCUUAGCUUUUUUGUUGGGUGAAAUCAGUAUAAAGAGUUUCUCUUUCUUUUAAAAUUAAUAGGAAUUAAAAAACUUUGAUUUAAAACCAGGAUUAGAUACCCUGUUAUUCUAAGUUAUAUUUAGACAGGGUAGUAAAAGCUGUUCUUCAAACCCAAAGAUUUUGGCGGCACUUUAUCCAAAUAGAGGAGCUUGUCCCUUAAUCGAUAGCCCCCGUUUUAUCUUUCCUCUGUUUGUAGAGCUUGUAUACCGCCGUUGUCAGAUCACUUUUAGAGAAUGUUUUCAAGUUAAAAUACUUUUCUACUUCAGGUCAAGGUGCAGUUUAUAUAGAGGUGGAGGUGAGCUACAAUUUUCUUUAGAAAUACGGAUUUCAAGCCUUGAAGCUGGCUGAAGGUGGAUUUACUAGUAAAGUAA